UUACAGCCAUACCAUGUUGAAACACCAGUUCUCAUCCGAUCACUAAGUUAAGCAAUGUCAAGCCUGGUUAGUACCAAGAUGGGUAACCUUAUGAGAAUACCAUAUGGUGCA